UUAAAAAGAAUAUUAUUAAUAACAGGGGAUUGGAAUACCAAAGGAAUAGCUGGUAAGAAGUAAAGAGAAUUUGAAAGAAUAUAGGAAUGGCAGAUAUAAGGAGCAGUCCCUAACCCUGGGUGUAUGAUACAGCAUCCAAGAAAGAGCACCCACCAUCCCUCACCCCUAUGGCUGAGAUACAGAUAUUUUUGAGGAGAUUGAAGCUGUUGGUCACCAGUGCUGUUAGCCAAAUGUGCCCUGCAGGAGGAGUGAGUUGUUGGAGAAGACAUCUGGGCUACAGAAUCCUGUCCCUGAGAAGCUACAGUGCUGCAGGAGCUGAAUGCUGGAGAAGCUAUGCAUACUUCAGGAGUCUACAGAGUACAGCACCCUGGAACCAGAAGAAAGAUCCUCUUCCUCUUCUAUUGAUUGUCUCUCCAGAACUCUCUAUUCAUAAAACUUCACAUUGUCCUCUAUGGCAAAGAAGAAAUCAUCAAAGAGCCCAUCUCCAUUUCACAGAUCAUGCAAUGGAAAGUAGAUUUGUAGUUGAGAGGCAAUAAAAUGAUAAGUGGCACACUGGUUAAUCUAUUUUCCUCUUUGGGUGCAUCAGUGUGGAAUCAUUCUCUGUAAAUUUAUCCAGAGGACCCAGUAGGUGUGAAUGGCCAGACACAGGCUGGCUAGCUCCUGGGAAUGGCCAUCUAGGGAUGCAGGGGAGGAGAUUUUAGUUUCUUUUAUUCCACAUGUUUCUUACCUCCCUUUCCUUCCUAUGAAAAAAUUGCUAAUCUUAUCAAAUUCUGGGCCAUAGAUUCAUCCAGCCCUUGCUAAUGGGCAGGAACAUUGUGCCGUAAGUAUCACAAGUCAACACUAUACUUUUUCUCUUUCACUUUUUCUCUUCUGUGGUGCCCUUGGGAGGAAUUCUGUCACCUCAACUGUUUCCACAAAACCACUUGAAUAUUCUUGUCAGUGUGUCAGAUACCUCAGACCAUGUAGUUGAUCAAUUGAUGGUGAUAUUCCAAGAUUUGAAAUUGGACUAGGUACAAACCAAGAGCUAUAUACUGUCUUCCAACUCCGCUUUCCAACAUUUUGCAUUAGGAGUAAUUAGGUACUUACCCAAGUAAUAAUAAAAUAAUAUUUGCUUCCCAUUGGCUUUGUUCCUCGUGUCUAUCUCCCUAUAGAAAUUUCAGAGAUGAAUUGUGAUUUGUGAAACAGGAUUCAGGCAUUCCUACAUUUCUGCAAACACCUUCAAAAUUUCACCUUAGUUUCUAACAACUGUCAUCUUGUUCUCAUAGCCAAAUGCCCAAAGUGAUUGGCAUUUUAAAAAAUACUUCUUUCACAACAAUCAUAGAACAAAUAUUUAUGGUAAUUUAUAUUUUUCAACAGAAAUAUGUGUAUAGAAACUUUACAAAUAACACUCACAUGUUAAAUUAUCCUCACAAUUUCUGUAUGAGAUUAUUAUUCUCAUUCCUAUUAUAUACCUGAGGAAACCGAGGUUGAGAGUUUUUGAAUGAUAGUGUUUUUUUAAAGGUAGAGUUGGGAUCUGGGUGCAGGUGUUCUGAUUCUUUAUCCUAUAUUCUUUCAAAUAAAUACAUAAAAAUAGUUUUAAAAUUCCUGGCACAUAGUAGGUAUUCCAUAAAUGUUGAUUUUACAGGUUCUUCUUGCACAAGCUUCUUUCUUUGUGCAGGAAGUGGAUGUGUUAGCGUAGCUUAUUUUCACUUCCCGUUGCUACGAUAAAAUGCUAAUUAUUUAACAUUUUCUUCUAAAGGCCAAGAUCCCAACAGAGAUCAUACAUGGGGUUCCUGCUGUAAAGACCACAGCUUCUGGUGGUGGAAAGGAAUGCAUUUUGAUCCUUUUCUACAGUAUUACAAAGUUGAUUUGCCAUUGGUAAUUUUUAUUUAUUGGUAAACAAGAUAAAUUCACCACAGUGUACUUGUGCUGCCUUAACCCUCCCCAUUUGUCUUUAAAGUCCUUCAGAAAUGUUUUAACUCUAAAAAUGGCAUUUAGAACAGCAGGGCCAAUUGUUAUAGAUAGAUUCAGAUAGUGAAAAACAGAGAGCAUCCAAUGUUUUUAAAGGGAGAUUUCCCUAAUAUACUUACUUUGCGGAUUAAGAGCUUUUGAACAAUUAAGUUCACCCCCUGAUGUUGCCAGACCACAUUUAAACAGUCCCCUAUUCAUUCACAAGAUAUGGCCCACACAGAUGCACUCCAUUGGCAAUAUAGGAAACUUGCAUUAGUGUUCUACAGAGAAAUAGAAAAUGAGGGAGCAAGAUGCUCUUUUUUUUCCAUGUUUCUAUCUCUAUCUCUAUCUCUAGGUUCUAGCACCUGCUGUACAACAUCCCCAGAAGUGAGUGUGCUCUCACAUUCUGGUGACAACACUUCUUCACUUUUUUUUUUCCAACCAAGGGGGAGGUAACUGCUUUCUGUAUGCAUUAAUCUCUGGGCAACAUUCCCUUCUCUAUUUUAUUCCUCCAGGAUACUUCCUCAUUUUUCCUCUUCCAGCUCUCCAGUAUUAGUGUAACCAAUUCUUUGUUAAAAGUCUGAGAACAAUUUCUAUUUUCCUGACUAAAACUAAUUGAUAGAGGAAACAAAAUGUAUCAAGCGCUUUGAAGAUGAUAGAAGUGUAAAAUGGGGUUCUUUAGAUAUUUUUAUCAAAGCCUUCUUAAAAGGGAAGUUAUUUGAGCUACAGUCUAAAGUGUGAGAAGGAGAUAAUAGCAAGGAGAUCUGAAAGAAGUGUGUUUCAGCCAGAGGGGAACUUCUUUGGAUGCUAAUUAGUGGUAGUUUGGAUUGAAGGGAUGGCAGUGGAGAUGAAGUGCAUGGAUUCAAGAUGUGCUUCCUUAGACAAAAUUCCAAGACAGAGGAAUCCAUCCCAAAUUAGAGAACAAGAUAAGGUCAUGGCCAGAGAUUUAAAUGAAACAAAUGUAAGUAAUAUGCUGAGGGAGAAUUUAAAGCAACAACCAUAAGGAUAGUCAAAUAGAAUAAAAACAGAAUUGUUUAUGAAAAAUACAUGUUGGCAUAAAAGAGGAGCAAUAAAAAAUGAUGGGGUAUUUUGAGUAAUGCCCACCCUCCGCGACCCAUGCAGGUUCUAAUCCUUGCAACCUGUGAAUGUUACCUUAUUUGGCAAAAAAAGAAUUUGCAGGUGUGAUUAAGUUACGGAUCUUGAGAUGGGGAGAAUUAUCCUGGGUGGGCCCAAAUGGAAUCACAUGUGUCCCUAUCACGGAAUAUUUGACACAGAAGAGAAGGAAACCAUGUGACCAAAGUAGGGAGGAGCAGAAUCAGUGGGAGAGGAUGCCAUAUGCUGGUGGGUCAUAAGCCAAAGAAUAAAGGCAACUACUAGAAGGUGGAAAAGGCAAGGAAAUAGAUUCUCCUGUAAAGCCUCUGAAGGAACUACAGCCCUGCUGACACCUUGAUUGUGGCCCAGUGAAUUCCAUUUUAGAUUUCUGGCUCUAGGACCAUAAGAAAAUGAAUUCAUGUUCGUGGUAAUUUGUUAUAGCAGCUAUAGAAAAACAAUACAGAUGACUUCCAGAAUUUCAUUCUGAGCAACAGGGAGUCUUCAAAGGCCCUUGCCUUCCGGAUAGUUGUAAAGAGGUUGGUCAUGAAAGGCUUUAAGAUGGCAUUUAGCACAGAGGCCUAAAAGGAGAAAGAAGAAAGCCAUGUGAAUAUUAGGUGAAGAACAUAGCCCAGCAGAGGGAACUGCAAAUGCAAAUGUUCCCAGAUAUGAGAUAUCAUCUGAAGAUACAGAAGCGGAAGAAGAGAGAGUCCUCUCUUAGACAAAAUAUACCUCAAAGGAUUAGUCUCCAUCUUUCCUUCACAUACCACAUCUUCUCUAAAACAGUGACUCUCAAGUAUCUUCAGACACCUCAUUUCUCCUUACCUGCUUCUCAUUAGAUAGAUGAAAUGUACCUAAAGAAGUGUCAGACCAAAGAACAUUAGAGUCAAGGACAGAGAUGAAAACUGGCCCUGGGCUUCAGAGAUUCAACUGACCCACAUGCUAUAGAAGAUACCGUGUGAACUGAAGCAUGUGUAUUGAAAAUCAUUCACCUGCCUUCUCCUUGCUGGCUGAGAUGAACCCCAUUAGCAUCAAAAGGACAAUUCAGGGUGAACUUGGAAAAGAGGAAUUGCCUUUUAUCCUUACAAAUAAGUAAAGUGAACCCUUAAUGCCUCACUCUGCACGAUUAUAUUGGUAUUCUGGAUUAUGAAUGAAAAAGUGCACUCAGUAGCAGAGAGGAGUAGGGAUUAAGGGUCAUAGGUACAUUUGAGUUAGAUUUGAAAGGCUCAGUCAAGCAUGACAGGCUAUAUAAACACAAAGCAUGGACAGUUAAACCUAUAGUUUGGCUCUCAGCUCUGUUGCUUGUUAUGAUAAAACUUUGAAACUUUUUUUCUUCAUUGAAAACAUAGGCAUAAUUAAACCAAAUUUAUUCACUUGUUGUAAAGGUAAAACAACAGUGUUUGUGAAUGUGUUCACCAAAGUGUGAAAGACAGGUGAUAACUGAAAAAGACCACAACAACAAAAAAGUAAACAAGGUAAAGUUGGUUUUAAGAUCAGUAACUCUGAAGGUAAGGCCAUCUGGGUUUCAAUCCAGACUGAAGCACUUACUGGAUUUGAGUCCUCCAGCAAGUAGCAUCAAUAAACCUCAGUUUCCUUCAUCCAUAAAAUGAAGACACAAAUAAUACCUGAUAGAGUUUAUGUAUGUGUCAUAAAUAGUAAACUUUCAAUAUUAAUUAC